AGCUUUGCGCAGUGGCAGUAUCGUAGCCAAUGAGGUUUAUCCGAGGCGCGAUUAUUGCUAAUUAAAAAAAUUCCUUCAUGGGGCGCCUGGGUGGCUCAGAUGGUUAAGCGUCUGCCUUUGGCUCGGGUCAUGAUCC